GUUCAUUUUAACGUUCUAGAUAUUUCUUAAAUCAGUUAAGAAAUUUUGACUUCAGGGAUGGCCAGUUAAUUAACCAGAUAUUAAAUCAGUUAAUAAUAUUGACCCAAAAGAACAGCAAUGUUGAAUUUUGUGCGUGAUGUGAAAUAUGUGGUAUUUUUCUUUCCUUCACAACCUGUGUCGUUGUUGUUUUGUUGGCAAAUUGAACCAUGUCAUUGAGAUUGGUUAGUUAAGAAAUCAUAUGUUUCUGUUGAAUUAUUUUGCACUGUAAUUGGCAGGUGUUCGAUGAAGCAGACAUG
rnacentral:misc_RNA from 1 species